AACGCACAUUGCGCCCCUUGGUAUUCCGAGGGGCAUGCCUGUUCGAGCGUCAUUACAAAACCUCUCAAGUUCUUUUGCUUGGUGUGUUGGGUAUUCGUCCUGCUCCUUUCCCGCUGCUCAAAAGUGGGGCAGAGGAACCUGGACGUACCUGAAAAUCAGUGGCGGUGCCAUGAUGGCCUCAAGCGUAGCAGGCUCCCUCUCGCUUUGGAUGGCCUUGUCGUGCAGCUUGCCGGCCUUUGCGUGUUUGUUUUUAUCAAGGUGUUUGACCUCGGAUCAGGUAGGGAUACCCGCUGAACUUAA
rnacentral:misc_RNA from 1 species